GGGUCGUUAGCUCAGCCCGGUAGAGCAGCUGGCUUUUAACCAGUUGGUCAGGGGUUCAAAUCCCUUACGACCCA
rnacentral:tRNA from 1 species